CCCGAUGAUUGUUUGGGAUUUACAAAAUGAUAAGAUUCUCUUCAUAGAAUUAUAAAGUAUAUUUUAUUAAUUAUUGAAUAACUCAUUAGAAAGAUAACACAAAGAUUAUAGAGUAGAUCCCGGGAACUUUUUAGCACAUAUGGCUUUGAGGAUUAAUGUAUUCAAAGCUCUUGUAGGAUAGACAAUCAAGAGGCAUUCAGGAAGUGCUUUCACUGCUUGGCAACACUCUCUUGUUAGCAAUCUGGUAUCACUGCCAGACGCUAAUUUCACAGCCUCGAAACAUCCAGCCACUGUAUCUAAAGCCGUUUUCUUGGGACAUAAUAACGUCGUAUUCGGCUGAACAUUUUGGACUCCCAAUAUUUGGACGAUCAAUGCUGAGAUUACAGCUAACAAGAAAAACAUGACUUUUAUUUGUUGAGGUUUCAUUAUUGACAAGAUUAAAAAAUAAUUGAUUUUGUAGGCUUGGAUUG
rnacentral:lncRNA from 1 species